rfam:Chelonia mydas contig177518, whole genome shotgun sequence.
UCCUCAUUAGUAUAGUGGUAAGUAUCCCCACCUGUCACGUGGGAGACCGGGGUUCAGUUCCCUUACGGGGAG